UUGUUGUUGUUGCUGCUGCUGCUGCUGCUUUGUGUGGUUGUUGUUUGUUGAGCGAAGCGGUCUUCGUCCCAGAACUCGCAAGAUCGUGCCUCUGUAGUGGGAGGAGUCCGAAACGUAGUCCUUUGCUAUUCGUAAGACCCGCAGAAGAGAAAGCAGGUCAACCCCCCGACACCGACAGCAUCGACGGAUGGAUAAAUGCGCAUCCAGGCUCCGCGGUUGCGUAG